UUUAUUAAAUUUUCUUUUAUUAUUUUAAUUUUUUGUUUGGGGUAUUUUAGUAUUUUCACAAAAUUCCACCCCGAAGAUUUGCUCGAGAAGUCUUCAAUAAAGUUCCACGUAGAGCCUCUGGUUUAAAUCUAUACCAGAAACAGGAAAGGGAAGCUGCACUGCUGGCACGGAAACAGAAGAGUUACACGAUUUUGGAUGCAGAUGAUGAUGUCGCUACUGUAAAUGUUGAUGAGUCCAAAAAAGUUGGUUCACAUAAGAAAAA